rnacentral:rRNA from 1 species
GACGUAGGGUGCGAGCGUCGUCCGGAUUUAUUGGGCGUAAAGAGCUCGUAGGCGGCUCGUCGCGUCGACCGUGAAAACCCGCAGCUUAACUGCGGGCUUGCGGUUGAUACGGGCGGGCUAGAGUUCGGUAGGGGAGACUGGAAUUCCUGGUGUAGCGGUGAAAUGCGCAGAUAUCAGGAGGAACACCGGUGGCGAAGGCGGGUCUCUGGGCCGAUACUGACGCUGAGGCACGAAAGCUAGGGGAGCAAACAGG